AGAAAAGACACGGGUUCGAUCUCUGGGUUGGAAAGAUCCUCUUGAAGAGGCUUCCCUGGUGGCUCAAACGGACACAAAUCUGAGGAACUUUCUGGAGUGAUACAGAUGUUCCAUAUCUGGAUCUGAUGGUUACACUGAUGUAUAAUAGGUAAAAUUUGGUGUGAAGAAGUAAUAACAGCUAGCCCUUACCUGGCACUUACCACAUACCAAGCACUCUUUGAAGUACUUUGCGCAUAACUCAUUUCAUCCUAACAAUAACCCUGUAAUCGUGUGGGAUCUCAGUUUCUUGUUCCCUGACCAAAUAUUGAACCCUCACCCCCUACAUUGGAAGUGUGGAGUCUUAACUACUGGACCACCAGCGAAGUCCCUCCAGAACCAUUUUUAAGGAUCUUAAUAAAUCUUGGCAAAGUUCCCUUCCCCAAAUGCUCUAUCUUCCCCAAAUAUAAAUCUCUUCAUGCCUUUCUGUUCAAAAAGGAUGGCUGGCUCCUCCAGUGCCUAUUUAGUGUCCAGCAC
ensembl:lncRNA